rnacentral:rRNA from 1 species
ACAUGCCUACAUCAUAGCGUUAAUGCAUUGGAUCCCAUUAGAACUCCGUAGUUAAGCACGCUCAGGCUAGAGUAGUACUGAUAUGGGUGACCGCCCGAGAAGUUCUAGUGUUUUACAUGCA